CAAUUCUUUCUGAUAUCUAAGAAUAGUAAACUGCCUGUACUGUUUGAUCAAGUAGCCUCAUCACGUGGAAGCUUGAAGCAUGCACACUUGUUCUGCAUACCAUAUUGUCUGAACCCUCUAUCUGGUCAGAGAGAAGCAGGUCUGGGCACUACACUGCACAGAGGUACACUUUUGACCAAGUGUAUGAAGUUGUUGGAGCUUCAGUGUGGCCUCAUAUCUCCUUAGUUUAGCCAGUAAAAGAUUCAGAUAUGUAUUCUAGCAGAAUAUCUUUCCAUGUGGCAUCUGCACGUAGAUAAUGUACUCCAAUAAACGCUUCUAUGUAGCUUUGUCUUAUUGAGGUUUAAUUUUCUCAACACCACUGUAUAUUUUGUUUGGUGCCUUGGUCUCGGAGAACCUAAUGAACCUACUUGAUGUCAAAGGUAUUAAGGUAGAAGAAUCGUUUGUAUACACCUUCGUGCUUAUUAUUGAUUGGGUUUAAAAUGCAUUUACAAUGCGUGCUUUUUCAUGUAUAUAGACACUACUGACAUGGUUAUGUACCUGAUCUGUAUUGUUUCCAAAAUUAGGUUGGCCCAAUUUAUUUGUUCAUUUUCAAUAUAAGUUCAGCUACUUAUUUCUAAAUUUUCCUUUUUAUUUAGGCUGCUAAUGCUUCGCUCUGCUCGCUAUGGAUAUGUCGGUCGGCGCCAACUUCUUCCUCCCCAUCGGCCAGGUGACCUUGUUGACUCCUCCCUCUUCACCGGCCAGGCCAACUCGCCGGCACCUCCCACCUCACCGGCCCAGGAGGGAUCCCCUCCCUCAAUGUCGCCGCGUCCUGUGCUCGCCGCCGUCCAUGAGCCGAUUCCGCAGUGCAGAUGAGCCUGAAGAGGUUGUCCUACUUCAGGGUAGUGAGCUGCAGCAUUUUGACGCUCAGUUGGCGCUGGAGGUUAUUCAGGCACCAUCCACAAAUUAAGUAAGAUAUAGCUUUCUUCACCGUAAUUUUGUCAAGGGGUCCGCAAUGAAAUGGACAAUUACGCCAAGAUAGGCACAUAAGAAGAUCCUCAAGAUCAGCGAUGGAGAUCGCGACGGUGCAUCGACGAGCUUGAUGAGAUGGCGCAUUGACAAGCAAAAAGUCAUGGAGAUUCCCGCUGUUCGUGAGGGGUUGCGUGAUGCGGCUAUGGGGCGGCGGAGGUCCACACAUCAGACGUAUCUAGGCUGUGCGCACAGAUGAUGUUGAGGCUCCGUGACCUCUACAACCCGAGCAAAACAGCAGCGGUUCGCCACUUCAGCUGUUACUCUACUCCAUCCACUAAAUUUUCUUCAGUUGAAUAUCUGCAUAUAUAUGGUGAUGAUUUUAGUGGGCCACAAGGUGUUGGCAAUCGUUGGGUUCUGUAUUCUACAAAAUAUCAGCAGCUUGUUUAAUCUUCAGUUGUGGUGCUUUCAUGUUA